UACGGAGGGGACUAGCGUUGUUCGGAAUUACUGGGCGUAAAGCGCACGUAGGCGGAUUUGUAAGUCAGGGGUGAAAUCCCGAGGCUCAACCUCGGAACUGCCUUUGAUACUGCGAAUCUCGAGUCCGGAAGAGGUGAGUGGAAUUCCUAGUGUAGAGGUGAAAUUCGUAGAUAUUAGGAAGAACACCAGCGGCGAAGGCGGCUCACUGGUCCGGUACUGACGCUGAGGUGCGAAAGCUAGGGGAGCAAACGGG
rnacentral:rRNA from 1 species